GGGGGGAAGAGCUCUGUGGUAGAACAUCUGUUUUGCAUGCAAAACGUUCCAGGUUCAAUCCCAGGCAUCUCCCCA